CACCGCCCGGCCAUGGCCUGGUCGAAGAGGACGACCUUCCCCGAAUAGAGGAGGACCGGUCUUCGGUCAAGGGUAUACGAGUAGCUGCGCUCCCCUGCUAGAACCUCCAAACAAGCUCUCAUGGCAACUCUUAUAAAGGACAACAUUUAGU
rnacentral:sRNA from 1 species